AAUCCAUAGGUUAAUGAGGCGAACCGGGGGAACUGAAACAUCUAAGUACCCCGAGGAAAAGAAAUCAACCGAGAUUCCCCCAGUAGCGGCGAGCGAACGGGGAGGAGCCCAGAGCCUGAAUCAGCAUGUGUGUUAGUGGAAGCGUCUGGAAAGGCGCGCGAUACAGGGUGACAGCCCCGUACACAAAAGCGCAUGUGCUGUGAGCUCGAUGAGUAGGGCGGGACACGUGGUAUCCUGUCUGAAUAUGGGGGGACCAUCCUCCAAGGCUAAAUACUCCUGACUGACCGAUAGUGAACCAGUACCGUGAGGGAAAGGCGAAAAGAACCCCGGCGAGGGGAGUGAAAAAGAACCUGAAACCGUGUACGUACAAGCAGUGGGAGCACCCUUUGGGUGUGACUGCGUACCUUUUGUAUAAUGGGUCAGCGACUUAUAUUCUGUAGCAAGGUUAACCGAAUAGGGGAGCCGGAGGGAAACCGAGUCUUAAUUGGGCGUUAAGUUGCAGGGUAUAGACCCGAAACCCGGUGAUCUAGCCAUGGGCAGGUUGAAGGUUGGGUAACACUAACUGGAGGACCGAACCGACUAAUGUUGAAAAAUUAGCGGAUGACCUGUGGCUGGGGGUGAAAGGCCAAUCAAACCGGGAGAUAGCUGGUUCUCCCCGAAAGCUAUUUAGGUAGCGCCUCGUGAAUUCAUCUCCGGGGGUAGAGCACUGUUUCGGCUAGGGGGCCAUCCCGGCUUACCAACCCGAUGCAAACUGCGAAUACCGGAGAAUGUUAUCACGGGAGACACACGGCGGGUGCUAACGUCCGUCGUGAAGAGGGAAACAACCCAGACCGCCAGCUAAGGUCCCAAAGUCAUGGUUAAGUGGGAAACGAUGUGGGAAGGCCCAGACAGCCAGGAUGUUGGCUUAGAAGCAGCCAUCAUUUAAAGAAAGCGUAAUAGCUCACUGGUCGAGUCGGCCUGCGCGGAAGAUGUAACGGGGCUAAACCAUGCACCGAAGCUGCGGCAGCGACACUGUGUGUUGUUGGGUAGGGGAGCGUUCUGUAAGCCUGCGAAGGUGGCCUGUGAGGGUUGCUGGAGGUAUCAGAAGUGCGAAUGCUGACAUAAGUAACGAUAAAGCGGGUGAAAAGCCCGCUCGCCGGAAGACCAAGGGUUCCUGUCCAACGUUAAUCGGGGCAGGGUGAGUCGACCCCUAAGGCGAGGCCGAAAGGCGUAGUCGAUGGGAAACGGGUUAAUAUUCCCGUACUUGGUGUUACUGCGAAGGGGGGACGGAGAAGGCUAUGUUGGCCGGGCGACGGUUGUCCCGGUUUAAGCGUGUAGGUGUGUGUUCCAGGUAAAUCCGGUUCACUUUAACACUGAGGCGUGACGACGAGGCACUACGGUGCUGAAGCAACAAAUGCCCUGCUUCCAGGAAAAGCCUCUAAGCAUCAGGUAACAUCAAAUCGUACCCCAAACCGACACAGGUGGUCAGGUAGAGAAUACCAAGGCGCUUGAGAGAACUCGGGUGAAGGAACUAGGCAAAAUGGUGCCGUAACUUCGGGAGAAGGCACGCUGACACGUAGGUGAAGUGAUUUACUCAUGGAGCUGAAGUCAGUCGAAGAUACCAGCUGGCUGCAACUGUUUAUUAAAAACACAGCACUGUGCAAACACGAAAGUGGACGUAUACGGUGUGACGCCUGCCCGGUGCCGGAAGGUUAAUUGAUGGGGUCAGCGCAAGCGAAGCUCCUGAUCGAAGCCCCGGUAAACGGCGGCCGUAACUAUAACGGUCCUAAGGUAGCGAAAUUCCUUGUCGGGUAAGUUCCGACCUGCACGAAUGGCGUAAUGAUGGCCAGGCUGUCUCCACCCGAGACUCAGUGAAAUUGAACUCGCUGUGAAGAUGCAGUGUACCCGCGGCAAGACGGAAAGACCCCGUGAACCUUUACUAUAGCUUGACACUGAACAUUGAGCCUUGAUGUGUAGGAUAGGUGGGAGGCUUUGAAGUGUGGACGCCAGUCUGCAUGGAGCCGACCUUGAAAUACCACCCUUUAAUGUUUGAUGUUCUAACGUGGACCCGUUACCCGGGUUGCGGACAGUGUCUGGUGGGUAGUUUGACUGGGGCGGUCUCCUCCUAAAGAGUAACGGAGGAGCACGAAGGUUGGCUAAUCCUGGUCGGACAUCAGGAGGUUAGUGCAAUGGCAUAAGCCAGCUUGACUGCGAGCGUGACGGCGCGAGCAGGUGCGAAAGCAGGUCAUAGUGAUCCGGUGGUUCUGAAUGGAAGGGCCAUCGCUCAACGGAUAAAAGGUACUCCGGGGAUAACAGGCUGAUACCGCCCAAGAGUUCAUAUCGACGGCGGUGUUUGGCACCUCGAUGUCGGCUCAUCACAUCCUGGGGCUGAAGUAGGUCCCAAGGGUAUGGCUGUUCGCCAUUUAAAGUGGUACGCGAGCUGGGUUUAGAACGUCGUGAGACAGUUCGGUCCCUAUCUGCCGUGGGCGCUGGAGAACUGAGGGGGGCUGCUCCUAGUACGAGAGGACCGGAGUGGACGCAUCACUGGUGUUCGGGUUGUCAUGCCAAUGGCACUGCCCGGUAGCUAAAUGCGGAAGAGAUAAGUGCUGAAAGCAUCUAAGCACGAAACUUGCCCCGA
rnacentral:rRNA from 3 species